UACGGGGGGGGCAAGCGUUGUUCGGAAUUACUGGGCGUAAAGGGCUCGUAGGCGGCCAACUAAGUCAGACGUGAAAUCCCUCGGCUUAACCGGGGAACUGCGUCUGAUACUGGAUGGCUUGAGAUUGGGAGAGGGAUGCGGAAUUCCUGGUGUAGCGGUGGAAUGCGCAGAUAUCAGGAGGAACACCAAUAGCGAAGGCAGCUCGCUGGGACGUUACUGACACUAAGGCGCGAAAGCGUGGGGAGCGAACAGG
rnacentral:rRNA from 1 species